CUGAGUCGGAGUGGGACGGCUUUGGCUCAAUCAGGCAGAGGCGAAGUGUUGUAGAAAAUGUAUUAAAGAUCAAAACCUCAUCCCAACCGUGAAGCAUGGUGGAAGGAACAUCAUGGUUUCGAGCUGCUUUGCUAUCUCAGGGUCUGAGCAACUUGCAAUCAUUCUGGGAACAGCAAAUUCAAAACUGUAUCAAGAGAUUUUACAGGUGAAUUUCAGGUGUACAGGCUGGCAUACUUCCCAAGAAAUCAACACUGACUAGGCUCCAUUUUAUCAAUGACUCAUAGAAAGCAUUUUAACUGGAUGCAUAACAUAGUACAGCAGCUGCUCUGUACAUCACCGUAAGUGACUGCAGAGAGUUGUGGACACUGCUUAGCACAUUCUCUCCCAUCGGGCAGAAGAUACCUGAAAGCAUCUACCACCAACCUCAAAGACAGCUUCUAUCCAGCUGCUACCAGACUUUGCAAUGGACUUGGUUUACAACACGAGGAAUUUUUAACUGCAUAAUUUACAAAGUACUUUGUUAUAAUCUUGAACUCUGUUUACUUGCACUGCAACUUUCUGUGGCUUUUACAGUUUAUUCUGCAUUGCUAUUGUUCCACCUUAAUGCAUGUGUAGUGAUUGAUCUGUAUGAACAGCAUGCAAGACAAGCUUCUAACAGUACCUUAUACAUGUCUCAAUAAACCAACACCAAUAUCAAUACUACCAGCUGUGAGUAAAAAGACAAACUGCUGAAGGAGUUAAGUAGGUCAGGCAGAAUCUAUGGAGGCAGAGGAUUGUCAGCAUUUCGGGUCAAGACCCUGAAACGUAUACUGCAACCCCUUCCAUCACUGUAUUACUUAACUAGUUGCAGGAAUUAAUGAUUAAUACAAACUUUAUUAUCCAACUAAUUUACUUCAAUGACAAUUAGUGUAACAAUCAAAUAACCAGAAGCAUAAAACCAGAAGUCCAGACAAUAACAUAGAAAAUAAUGAUUUGAGAACAUCCUUCUUUAUCAACGUUACUAGAAGUAAAGAGUUCUUGCUUAUGUUUCGUCUCCAGAAGCAGCA